UACGAAGGGGGCUAGCGUUGCUCGGAAUCACUGGGCGUAAAGGGUGCGUAGGCGGGUCUUUAAGUCAGGGGUGAAAUCCUGGAGCUCAACUCCAGAACUGCCUUUGAUACUGAAGAUCUUGAGUUCGGGAGAGGUGAGUGGAACUGCGAGUGUAGAGGUGAAAUUCGUAGAUAUUCGCAAGAACACCAGUGGCGAAGGCGGCUCACUGGCCCGAUAC
rnacentral:rRNA from 1 species